GACAUGUAAUAAAAAAAACUGAAAAACAAAUUUACUCUUUUUAUAAAAUACGGUUGAGAUAUUUCCACCACACUAUUUGUGUAAGAGUGGGACUAUUGGCACCCCUCUAAAUAUCUCUUAACGCCCCUUUUCUUAAUUAACCCCAUUAAAAUAUUUUUAAAAAUUAUAAAAUUCUUUUAACACCUCCAUCAAUGACAAAAAUAUCUUUAAUUAAAACAUAUUUGUGUAAAUCUCAUUCUUUAAUUUUUACUAUUAAACCUCAUUUCAACAAUGGGGUUUCUCACCUUUUUUUUUUUAAUUUAAAUUUGGCUCUACAAUAGAUUAUGAUGUAUAUUAUGCAAUUCCCAGGACUUAAUUAGGACUAAUUUGGAGAUGGUGCAAUUGAUUUUCAGGACUUUUAUUGAGUCUGUUCAGCGACUGGAGAUACUAAGGUGCGGUGGGGUUGAAUCGAGACCUUGAAGAUAAUUGGCUUGCUUUGCAAUCCCAGUUAGCUUUGGCUUGCUUACAUGGAUUUUGCAGAAUUACUGAAUUGUGAAUCUGCUUGAAUUAUUUAUGUUCUAAAUAACUUGCUCGUUAAAUUCUUCCUUCUAUAAUAUUUGAAUGUAUUUUUGAAGUGAUUAAACUUUACGCAACUUUCUAAAUAAUUUGCUCGUUAAACUCUGUCUAUGCUUGGGAUGUAUUAUUACAAUCUACAAGACAUCAACAGACUAAGGAGAACAUAUAUAUUUGCAAUUAAAGAUGGAACUAAUCGUUUUUCUUUAAAAAAAAAGAAAGAAAGAAAGAAAGAAUGGAACUAAUCGAUACAAAUGAUUACUAUUACACUAAUGUUUAUAUUUUUAAUGUCUUCUUUGUCAAUACUAAGAGAGAUAUAGCUAGAA
rnacentral:lncRNA from 1 species